UACAGAGGUCCCAAGCGUUGUCCGGAAUCAUUGGGCGUAAAGCGCGUGUAGGCGGCCCGAUAAAGUCCGCUGUGAAAAGUCAAGGGCUCAACCCUUGAAUGCCGGCCGAAACUGCCGGGCUAGAGUCCGGAAGAGGUGAGUGGAAUUCCUGGUGUAGCGGUGAAAUGCGCAGAUAUCAGGAGGAACACCAAUGGCGAAGGCAGCUCACUGGGACGGUACUGACGCUGGAGACGCGAAAGCGUGGGGAGCAAACAGG
rnacentral:rRNA from 1 species